GGCCUCGUAGCUCAGCUGGUAGAGCAUGCGCGUAAGGAGUGUGGGCGGUGUCCAUGCGUGGGUUCGAAUCCCACCGAGGCUG
rnacentral:tRNA from 1 species